CUCUGUUUGUUCUCCAUAAACUGCUGGAGUUCAGCCUCCAUGAACAGUUCUGCAGUGGACUCGAAUGAGGCUGCAAAGUGAGAGAAAGCAGAAGAGCUGGGAACAGCAGACAGGUGUCCUGAGUCAUCUCCAGGCAGACACACCAAUACAACAGCAGCACACAAGUGAUGGAGAUCUCAGCUGAAGAUGCAGCCAGCUCGGUCUGUGAGAGGUCCUGCAGAUGCCUCUGACAUUCCUGCUGGUUGGGAUGUUUGCCUCUGCUGGGAGACCCCUCCAUCCUCUUCCUGGUCAGGAAAGGGACACAGCUGGGCCCUGGAAGACUGACUGGAUGGAAAGUAAAGGCAGGACUGGUGCUGAGAGUGGAGUUCUUCUAUGUUUGGAAGUAAAUGUGGAUGAACAUCCCUUGCCUCUUGCUGAUGGAGCUCUGUGGUGUCCCUGCUUGCCCUUGGA